CAGCAGCCGCGGUAAUACAGAGGGUGCGAGCGUUAAUCGGAUUUACUGGGCGUAAAGCGUGCGUAGGCGGCUUUUUAAGUCGGAUGUGAAAUCCCUGAGCUUAACUUAGGAAUUGCAUUCGAUACUGGGAAGCUAGAGUAUGGGAGAGGAUGGUAGAAUUCCAGGUGUAGCGGUGAAAUGCGUAGAGAUCUGGAGGAAUACCGAUGGCGAAGGCAGCCAUCUGGCCUAAUACUGACGCUGAGGUACGAAAGCAUGGGGAGCAAACAGGAUUAGAUACCCGCGUAGUCCCUGUCUAUUAUAC
rnacentral:rRNA from 1 species